ensembl:ncRNA F36H12.65 ncRNA
AUUGGUUUUAACCCAGUUAACUAAGGUUAGCAUUAAUUUCGACCUUUCGAAAGAUUGUGUUGAAUAACAAUAAUUUUUGGA